CGCUGCCUGCGGUGUACGUAUUGCUCUGAAAUCCCUUAGAACCUAGAUUACAAACCGGGGGCGGAUAAAGACGCUGUUGUGCACGUCCGUAUUCGCGGAAAGCCUGAUGUGUCUCUGAAGCUCCCACUUGAACUAUUAGGUUCAAGGCAAAGGGGUAACACGGCACAGGCGGGUGGCGU
rnacentral:other from 1 species